rnacentral:lncRNA from 11 species
UGAGGUGCCAAUGUUUGUUAAUAAUCUUGCGGAUAUGUGGGGUUUGUGUGGAAGAAGAGGAGGAGGACACCAUGUCAGGACCCUGAUUUCAGAGCCUGUACUCUGGCGUCAGAAAUCAAGGAUACUGACAUCCUGGACUGAUAAGGCACCUGCGAUUCUCAGCUCUGAGGAGAAACGGCUAUCGCGUUUGGCGGAUGGAUUUCGCGGAGUUUUCUCUCAGCAGGAAUUGUAACUUUGAAUGUGGGGGAGGGUAUGUAAGGGAAUCUCUGUGAGCUGCUUGGCACUCUCGGCUUUUUUCAUGUCAAGGUUUCCUAUAGUAAAGUUUCCAGUGAUAAUGGAGCGAGUCUCUUGUCUUCAUU